rnacentral:piRNA from 1 species
CAAAACCUUUUACCAUAUAUUUU